rnacentral:rRNA from 1 species
CCUACGGGAGGCAGCAGUGAGGAAUAUUGGUCAAUGGGCGAGAGCCUGAACCAGCCAAGUCGCGUGAGGGAAGACGGUCCUAUGGAUUGUAAACCUCUUUUGCCGGGGAGCAAAACGCGGUACGCGUACCGCAUCGAGAGUACCCGGAGAAAAAGCAUCGGCUAACUCCGUGCCAGCAGCCGCGGUAAUACGGAGGAUGCGAGCGUUAUCCGGAUUUAUUGGGUUUAAAGGGUGCGCAGGCGGCGAGUUAAGUCAGCGGUAAAAUUUCGGGGCUCAACCCCGACAAGCCGUUGAAACUGGCGUGCUAGAGUGGGCGAGAAGUAGGCGGAAUGCGUGGUGUAGCGGUGAAAUGCAUAGAUAUCACGCAGAACUCCGAUUGCGAAGGCAGCAUACCGGCGCCCAACUGACGCUCAGGCACGAAAGCGUGGGUAUCGAACAGGAUUAGAUACCCGAGUAGUC